UCCAGCUGCCCAUGAGCUAAGAUC
rnacentral:siRNA from 1 species